CAUAUUCCACUUAUCAGUUUCUUGCUUGAGCCUCAAUGUCUUCCAGUUUCACUGUUGCAGCAUUACCCCAAGAGUGAUUCCUAUUGCCAGGAGCGGGCCUCUGUCAAGCUAAUUGCGUGUGGAAAUGUAAUGUCUGACCUAGGUUUAAUUCCCCGUGCUCUUGGCUGCCUCCUGAAUGUAGGUAAUAGGACAGAGAAAGAGAUGGCGCAGACAGAGCCAGGGCUGCUGAUAUAGAAACAGACUGACGGACAGCUGAGGUGAUGGAGCAUGUAGAAACAGACUGAUGGAGGAUGUAGAAAUAGACUGACGGACAGCUGAGGUGAUGGAGCAUGUAGAAACAGACUGAUGGGGGAUGUAGAAACAGACUGACGGACAGCUGAGGUGAUGGAGCAUGUAGAAACAGACUGAUGGAGGAUGUAGAAAUAGACUGACGGACAGCUGAGGUGAUGGAGCAUGUAGAAACAGACUGAUGGGGGAUGUAGAAACAGACUGACGGACAGCUGAGGUGAUGGAGCAUGUAGAAACAGACUGAUGGGGGAUGUAGAAACAGACUAACGGAGAGCUGAGGUGAUGGGUGAUGUAGAAACAGACUGACGGAUAGCUGAGGUGAUGGAGCAUGUAGAAACAGACUGAUGGAGGAUGUAGAAAUAGACUGACGGACAGCUGAGGUGAUGGAGCAUGUAGAAACAGACUGAUGGGGGAUGUAGAAACAGACUGACGGACAGCUGAGGUGAUGGAGCAUGUAGAAACAGACUGAUGGAGGAUGUAGAAACAGACUAACAGAGAGCUGAGGUGAUGGAGGAUGUAGAAACAGACUAACAGAGAGCUGAGGUGAUGGAGCAUGUAGAAACAGACUGAUGGAGGAUGUAGAAACAGACUGACGGACAGCUGAGGUGAUGGAGCAUGUAGAAACAGACUGAUGGAGGAUGUAGAAACAGACUAACAGAGAGCUGAGGUGAUGGAGGAUGUAGAAACAGACUAACAGAGAGCUGAGGUGAUGGAGGAUGUAGAAACAGACUGAUGGAGGAUGUAGAAACAGACUAACAGAGAGCUGAGGUGAUGGAGGAUGUAGAAACAGACUAACGGAGAGCUGAGGUGAUGGAGGAUGUAGAA